CCUAAUUUUUUUAAAUUUUACCCCUAAAAUUUGCCCUUAUUUUUUGUCCAAGGGUGCUGGACAGCCUGCUAGUAAUAUAGAGGUCUCGGGUUCGAUUCCCAGUCGAGUAAAAACCACUGAUAUCAAUCUGGAUAGCUCAGUGGUUAGAGCACCUGACUAGUAAUACAGGGGUCUUGGGUUCGAUUCCCAGUCGAGUAAAAACCACUGAUAUCAAUCUGGAUAGCUCAGUGGUUAGAGCACCUGACUAAUACAGGGGUCUGAGGUCCAAUCCCUGGUCCUAUCAUAUCGUGGGAACGAAGGGCCUUGGAUUCGAUCCCCAUUGUGACACCGGUUCAGCCAUAUUUUCUUUUCUUUCCCAUUACAUUGACAUCUAUGUAAACAUGUAAAUAUAUCACAAACUAUCCCUGACAUUUCAGUUUGAUAUGAUUACACUUUGUUUAUUUUGUAGGACGGUGGAGAUUUAGAUAAGUGGUGUGAUGUUAUUGAUGGUAAACAGAAGACUGUGACCUUGAAUCUGAAGAUCUGUGAUGAAGACUGGACGUUUGGGGUCACUCUCUGUUACAGUACUACAAAUCUAACAGUGUCAAACUCAGCCACAAAGAGGUUGUCUCUGAUGUCCACACAUAAACCUAAUGGACUGUCUAAAUGACAGUGAAUGUAACGGAGGAACUGUCCGUCCUGAUCUAGGAUGUGGAUACGGUGAUUGUCAAAGUCUGCUGUCAGGAUGUGACUCUGGCUGUCUGUAGUGAUGCCGCGUGGAUUAAAUGAUUGCUUGGUAUUAGAGGGAUGACCAGUGUAUCUAAAUAGGCUGAAUAGACCAAAUGAUUGCUCGGUAUUAGAGGGAUGACCCGUGUAUCUAAAUCGGAGUUUUCCUGACUGAUUGACCACCACUACUGCUCUAGCUGUAUAGUCAGCCACACAGAUAUCCAGGUUCUUGUUCUCACUGAGGUAUUUAGUGUUACCACCAGAUGAGUAGAGAGGACGACCCUGAUCAUCAAACUGAAUGCUUUGUUUCUCUGUGGAGCCGGAGUAACGCACGACUUUGGAUUGUUUGAGAUCAUCACUGAUCAUGAUAACCAGGAGAUCGUUACCCGCGGUACAGCAGACAAAGCGAGGUCUCCACCCCUGUAGUGUGAUCACGAAUGAGUUGAGUGGAAUAAUGAACCUCCAGAUGUCUAUGUACACAUGUAUGAAUAAACUGUUGUACUCGCGCAUGCGAGCUUAUCCUAUA